rnacentral:rRNA from 1 species
GACGAACGCUGGCGGCGUGCCUAACACAUGCAAGUCGAGCGGGAACCUCAGGAGGGGUAACCCUCCUGAGGGGAGAGCGGCGAACGGGUGAGUAACACGUGGGCAACCUGCCCCGGACACCGGGAUAACCCAGGGAAACCUGAGCUAAUACCGGAUACUCCGGCGAGAUCGCAAGGUCGCGCCGGGCAAGCUCCGACGGUCCGGGAUGGGCCCGCGGCCUAUCAGCUUGUUGGUGGGGUAACGGCCCACCAAGGCGACGACGGGUAGCUGGUCUGAGAGGACGGCCAGCCACACUGGGACUGAGACACGGCCCAGACUCCUACGGGAGGCAGCAGUGGGGGAUCUUGCGCUAAUGCGCGAAAGCGUGACGCAGCGACGCCGCGUGGGGGAUGAAGGCCCUCGGGUUGUAAACCCCUUUCGGCAGGGACGAAGCGAAAGUGACGGUACCUGCAGAAGAAGUCCCGGCUAACUACGUGCCAGCCGCCGCAGUAA